CCUACGGGUGGCAGCAGUGGGGAAUAUUGCACAAUGGGGGAAACCCUGAUGCAGCGACGCCGCGUGAGUGAAGAAGUAAUUCGGGAUGUAAAGCUCUAUCAGCAGGGAAGAAAAUGACGGUACCUGAGUAAGAAGCCCCGGCUAACUACGGUCCAGCAGCCGCGGUAAUACGUAGGGGGCAAGCGUUACCCGGAUGUACGGGGUGUAAAGGGAGCGUAGACGGCAGGGCAAGUCUGGAGUGAAAGGCGGGGGCUUAACCCCGGGACUGCUCUGGAAACUGUACGGCUGGAGUGCAGGAGAGGUAAGUGGAAUUCCAGGUGUAGCGGUGAAAUGCGUAGAUAUUAGGAGGAACACCAGUGGCGAAGGCGGCUUACUGGACUGUAACUGACGUUGAGGCUCGAAAGCGUGGGGAGCAAACAGGAUUAGAUACCCUAGUAGUC
rnacentral:rRNA from 1 species